AUUGAACGCUGGCGGCAUGCUUUACACAUGCAAGUCGAACGGUAACAGGCCGCAAGGUGCUGACGAGUGGCGAACGGGUGAGUAAUGCAUCGGAACGUGCCCAGUCGUGGGGGAUAACUACUCGAAAGAGUAGCUAAUACCGCAUACGAUCUAUGGAUGAAAGCGGGGGACCGUAAGGCCUCGCGCGAUUGGAGCGGCCGAUGUCAGAUUAGGUAGUUGGUGGGGUAAAGGCUCACCAAGCCAACGAUCUGUAGCUGGUCUGAGAGGACGACCAGCCACACUGGGACUGAAACACGGCCCAGACUCCUACGGGAGGCAGCAGUGGGGAAUUUUGGACAAUGGGCGCAAGCCUGAUCCAGCAAUGCCGCGUGCAGGAAGAAGGCCUUCGGGUUGUAAACUGCUUUUGUACGGAACGAAACGGCUCUGGUUAAUACCCGGGGCUAAUGACGGUACCGUAAGAAUAAGCACCGGCUAACUACGUG
rnacentral:rRNA from 1 species